rnacentral:rRNA from 1 species
GCAUUUAGUUGGGCACUCUAAGGGGACUGCCGGUGAUAAGCCGAGAGGAAGGUGGGGAUGACGUCAAGUCCGUCAUGGCCCUUACGGGCUGGGCUACACACGUGCUACAAUGGUGGUGACAGUGGGCAGCGAGCACGCGAGUGUGAGCUAAUCUCCAAAAGCCAUCUCAGUUCGGAUUGCACUCUGCAACUCGAGUGCAUGAAGUUGGAAUCGCUAGUAAUCGCGGAUCAGCAUGCCGCGGUGAAUACGUUCCCGGGCCUU